rnacentral:rRNA from 1 species
UACGGAGGAUGCGAGCGUUAUCCGGAUUUAUUGGGUUUAAAGGGUGCGCAGGCGGACUGUUAAGUCAGCGGUAAAAAUGCGGUGCUCAACGCCGUAUCGCCGUUGAAACUGCGGGUCCUGAGUGAGCGAGAAGUAUGCGGAAUGCGUGGUGUAGCGGUGAAAUGCAUAGAUAUCACGCAGAACUCCGAUUGCGAAGGCAGCAUACCGGCGCUCAACUGACGCUGAGGCACGAAAGCGUGGGGAGCAAACAGG